UGCGUAGGCGGAUUUUUAAGUCAGUGGUGAAAGCCCGGAGCUCAACUCCGGAACUGCCAUUGAUACUAUUAAUCUUGAAUACAGUUGAGGUGGGCGGAAUGUGUAGUGUAGUGGUGAAAUGCUUAGAUAUUACACAGAACACCGAUUGCGAAGGCAGCUCGCUAAACUGUUAUUGACGCUGAGGCACGAAAGCGUGGGGAGCGAACAGGAUUAGAUACCCUGGUAGUCC
rnacentral:rRNA from 1 species